rnacentral:siRNA from 1 species
GAUGUUAUAGCUCCUGGCGGCCUU